UUUUUAGAAUCAAGAUUAGUAUAGAAUGUGAUUUGAUAAAUUAGGGUUUCUAGAUCACCAAUCCUUUGUACAUAGUUCAUAAUUGAUUUUUAUCCCCACUGAUUAAGUUGAUCAAAUUUCACCUUGGUCAACAAAUAUCUUUGGUUCGUGCUGAUCAAAAGACCCUUGAUCACUUGAUAAGGCAAGUCCCUUAUAUUGAGGUUGCAUUGGAGAUCAAGACUUCAGACUUCAAGUCAGUACAAGUCAUACAUUGCAGACAGAUUGUUCAAGAACAAUAAAGGUGUAUCAACACUUGUCAAUCAUGAUUCAAUUUGUGUACGAUGAACCUUAAGUAAUAAAGAAGAGAUGAGAUGGAGCAUUCAUAUCCUCAUUCUGAAUAUCUUUGGGUACGGGACGAAUAACCCCGUUGCUCAGAGUAUUCACCUAUGUUCAUAGACUUUAGUACAAUUCAAAUAAAAUGAUUGUCAAGUAUCUUUCUUCACAAGCAACACUUCGUCAUAAGGAGCAAUAAGAAGAAUCUUCUUCAGUAACUUGCCAGUUAUGAUGAGUAUCACAUGCCAUGAGCCUUAAGUAGUAAAGAAGGGGUGAGAGGGAGCAUUCAUAUCCUCAUUCUGAAUAUCUUUGGGUACGAGACAAAUGAUCCAGUUGCUCAGAGUAUUCAUCUUUACUCAUAGACUUUAGUGUGGUUCAAGUCAAAUAAUUGCCAAUUCUUAUGCAACUUCAUUCUCAUUUCUCAUCAGUGAUAUAUUGUCUUCUUGGGACCAAAUACCAACUUUGGAUUCCAUAGAUACCUUUGGGUAAAUAACCAAUACCCACUUUUGAAUCAAGAGCUCUUGCUUGUCUUGUUAAUCCUAGUUGUUUAGACAAAUAUCUCGUUUGUUUUCUUAAAAGUCUUAAUGUUAGGAAAACCCCCUUUAUUUUAUUUUCCAUACCAUAUAUUGGUUCAUGCCACCUUUACUCUCUGAUUCAAAUAUCAUUAUCCUGUGGAUUCCAACAAUAUCGUUGUCUUUUGGUACAUGUUAUACUUUUCAUCACUUCGGUCAUACCCUUUCAUUUCUUGUUUGUCUUGUCAGUCCUAGUUGCUUAGACAAACACCUUUUUUCAGUUUAUUCAGCCCUGAUCAAUCUACAGGAAUAGGACAAACAGCAGGAAAUUGCACAAUGUCACAUCUCAACCAGCUCCACUUCUAGAGAUCAGACUUCUAAAAGUGACCUUCUUGAUCACACACACAGUUGACCCUACCCUUGUCACUUUAGCACACACAGAUGUCUCCUCUUCCAGGUCAGGAGUAGGUU
rnacentral:lncRNA from 1 species